rnacentral:rRNA from 1 species
CCUACGGGAGGCAGCAGUGAGGAAUAUUGGUCAAUGGACGAGAGACUGAACCAGCCAAGCAGCGUGAAGGAUGACUGCCCUAUGGGUCGUAAACUUCUUUUAUAAAGGAAUAAAACGAGGCACGCGUGCCUUUUUGCAUGUACUUUAUGAAUAAGGAUCGGCUAACUCCGUUCCAGCAGCCGCGGUAAUCCGGAGGAUCCGAGCGUUAUCCGGAUUUAUUGGGUUUAAAGGGAGCGUAGAUGGGUUGUUAAGUCAGUGGUGAAAGUUUGCGGCUCAACCGUAAAAUUGCAAUUGAGACUGGCAGUCUUGAGUACAGUUGAGGUAGGCGGAAUUCGUGGUGUAGCGGUGAAAUGCUUAGAUAUCACGAAGAACCCCGAUUGCGAAGGCAGCUUACUAAACUGUGACUGACAUUGAUGCUCGAAAGUGUGGGUAUCAAACAGGAUUAGAUACCCGGGUAGUC